UACGUAGGGUGCAAGCGUUACUCGGAAUUACUGGGCGUAAAGCGUGCGCAGGCGGUGAUGUAAGACAGGGGUGAAAUCCCCGGGCUUAACCUGGGAACUGCAUUUGUGACUGCAUUGCUGGAGUGCGGCAGAGGGGGAUGGAAUUCCGCGUGUAGCAGUGAAAUGCGUAGAUAUGCGGAGGAACACCGAUGGCGAAGGCAAUCCCCUGGGCCUGCACUGACGCUCAUGCACGAAAGCGUGGGGAGCAAACAGG
rnacentral:rRNA from 1 species